AACACAUUAAAACACACCACUACUACUAAUCUAACUGUCUGUAGGUCCAACAGAACACAUUAAAACACACCACUACUACUAAUCUAACUGUCUGUAGGUCCAACAGAACACAUUAAAACACACCACUACUACUAAUCUAACUGUCUGUAGGUCCAACAGAACACAUUAAAACACAUCACUACUACUAAUCUAACUGUCUUUAGGUCCAACAGAACACAACACACCACUACUACUAAUCUAACUGUCUGUAGGUCCAACAGAACACAUUAAAACACACCACUACUACUAAUCUAACUGUCUAUAGGUCCAACAGAACACAUUAAAACACACCACUACUACUAAUCUAACUGUCUUUAGGUCCAACAGAACACAUUAAAACACACCACUACUACUAAUCUAACUGUCUGUAGGUCCAACAGAACACAUUAAAACACACCACUACUACUAAUCUAACUGUCUUUAGGUCCAACAGAACACAUUAAAACACACCACUACUACUAAUCUAACUGUCUGUAGGUCCAACAGAACACAUUAAAACACACCACUACUACUAAUCUAACUGUCUGUAGGUCCAACAGAACACAUUAAAACACACCACUACUACUAAUCUAACUGUCUGUAGGUCCAACAGAACACAACACACCACUACUACUAAUCUAACUGUCUGUAGGUCCAACAGAACACAUUAAAACACACCACUACUACUAAUCUAACUGUCUGUAGGUCCAACAGAACACAUUAAAACACACCACUACUACUAAUCUAACUGUCUGUAGGUCCAACAGAACACAACACACCACUACUACUAAUCUAACUGUCUGUAGGUCCAACAGAACACAUUAAAACACACCACUACUACUAAUCUAACUGUCUGUAGGUCCAACAGAACCCAUUAAAACACACCACUACUACUAAUCUAACUGUCUGUAAGUCCAACAGAACACAUUAAAACACACCACUACUACUAAUCUAACUGUCUGUAGGUCCAACAGAACACAUUAAAACACACCACUACUACUAAUCUAACUGUCUUUAGGUCCAACAGAACACAUUAAAACACACCACUACUACUAAUCUAACUGUCUGUAGGUCCAACAGAACACAUUAAAACACACCACUACUACUAAUCUAACUGUCUGUAGGUCCAACAGAACACAUUAAAACACACCACUACUACUAAUCUAACUGUCUGUAGGUCCAACAGAACACAUUAAAACACACCACUACUACUAAUCUAACUGUCUGUAGGUCCAACAGAACACAUUAAAACACACCACUACUACUAAUCUAACUGUCUGUAGGUCCAACAGAACACAUUAAAACACACCACUACUACUAAUCUAACUGUCUGUAGGUCCAACAGAACACAUUAAAACACACCACUACUACUAAUCUAACUGUCUGUAAGUCCAACAGAACACAUUAAAACACACCACUACUACUAAUCUAACUGUCUGUAGGUCCAACAGAACACAUUAAAACACACCACUACUACUAAUCUAACUGUCUGUAGGUCCAACAGAACCCAUUAAAACACACCACUACUACUAAUCUAACUGUCUAUAGGUCCAACAGAACACAUUAAAACACACCACUACUACUAAUCUAACUGUCUGUAGGUCCAACAGAACACAUUAAAACACACCACUACUACUAAUCUAACUGUCUGUAGGUCCAACAGAACACAUUAAAACACACCACUACUACUAAUCUAACUGUCUGUAGGUCCAACAGAACACAACACACCACUACUACUAAUCUAACUGUAGAAAUGAUUCCAGAGGAAAACAAAUGAUGAAACAUCGCUAU